CAGCGCCACGAGUGGCGAUCCUGUUUAUUUGGCCUAAAGCGUCCGUAGCUGGUUCAAUAAAUCUCUUGUGAAAUCGUUGGGCUCAACCCAACGGCGUGCAGGAGAGACUGUUAAACUAGGGACCGGGAGGAGUCAGAGGUAUGCCGGGGGGAGCGGUAAAAUGCUAUAAUCCUCGGUAGACCACCUGUGGCGAAGGCGUCUGACUAGAACGGGUCCGACAGUGAGGGACGAAAGCCAGGGGAGCAAACCGGAUUAGAUACCCGAGUAGUCC
rnacentral:rRNA from 1 species